AACAGGAUUAGAUACCCUGGUAGUCCACGCCGUAAACGAUGAUAACUAGCUGUCCGGGGACUUGGUCUUUGGGUGGCGCAGCUAACGCAUUAAGUUAUCCGCCUGGGGAGUACGGCCGCAAGGUUAAAACUCAAAUGAAUUGACGGGGGCCUGCACAAGCGGUGGAGCAUGUGGCUUAAUUCGAAGCAACGCGCAGAACCUUACCAGCGUUUGACGUGUCCGGACGAUUUCCGGAGAUGGAUCUCUUCCCUUCGGGGACUGGAACACAGGUGCUGCAUGGCUGUCGUCAGCUCGUGUCGUGAGAUGUUGGGUUAAGUCCCGCGACGAGCGCAACCCUCGCCUUUAGUUACCAUCAUUUAGUUGGGGACUCUAAAGGAACCGCCGGUGAUAAGCCGGAGGAAGGUGGGGAUGACGUCAAGUCCUCAUGGCCCUUACGCGCUGGGCUACACACGUGCUACAAUGGCGGUGACAGUGGGCAGCAAACUCGCGAGAGUGCGCUAAUCUCCAAAAGCCGUCUCAGUUCGGAUUGUUCACUGCAACUCGAGAGCAUGAAGGCGGAAUCGCUAGUAAUCGCGGAUCAGCAUGCCGCGGUGAAUGCGUUCCCAGGCCUUGUACACACCGCCCGUCACACCAUGGGAGUUGGGUUCACCCGAAGGCGUUGCGCUAACUCGCAAGAGAGGCAGGCGACCACGGUGGGCUUAGCGACUGGGGUGAAGUCGUAACAAGGUAACC
rnacentral:rRNA from 1 species